rnacentral:rRNA from 1 species
AGUGAACGCUGGCGGUGGGCCUAACACAUGCAAGUCGAACGGCAGCACAGUAAGAGCUUGCUCUUACGGGUGGCGAGUGGCGGACGGGUGAGGAAUAUAUCGGAAUCUUCUUUUUCGUGGGGGUUAACGUAGGGGAAGUUACGCUAGUACCGCAUACGACCUACGGUUGAAAGCAGGGGAUCUUCGGACCUUGCGCGGUUGAAUGAGCCGAUGUCGGAUUAGUUAGUUGGCGGGGUAAAGGCCCAGCAAGGCGACGAUCCGUAGCUGGUGUGAGUGGAUGGUCGGCCACACUGGAACGGAGACACGGUCCAUGCUCCUACGGGAGGCAGCAGUGUGGAAUAUUGGACAAUGGGCGCGAGCCUGAUCCAGCCAGACCGCGUGGGUGAAGAAGACCUUCGGGUUGUAAAGCCCUUUUGUUGGGAAAGAAAAGCAGCAGGUUAAGACCCCGCUGUUCUGACGGUACCCAAAGAAUAAGCACCGGCUAACUUCGUG